CAGCGAGCGAGGGUGGCGGGGAAGGGGGUGGGGGAAGGAGGAGGGAGGAGGGAAAAGAGCGCGGAGGGGGGGCGCCGGGCGUGUGUCACUCGCUCUCUCCCUCUGUGUAUAGAGGAUGUGCUGAAUGGUGCGCUUUGAGGCGGCGGCGGAGGAGCAGAAUCCGCCGCGACUGGCAGCCUCGGCUGCCCGGCUCGGCUUCUCUUCGCCUUCCGAGGCUCCUCAUCCACCGCGGGUUCCCGACCUCGCGUCCCGCCUGGGGCAUGGCCCGGCGCUGCGCCCCCGCGCGCUCUGCCUGCUGAGCGGCGCCGGAGGGAGGUGCGGAGGCCGGGAGGCCGGGGAGGCCGGCGGGGGAGAAGAGUCGAGCGCCUCCGGAGCAGAGAAAGGAGCCCGCGUCCCGCGCCCCGCGCCCCGCGCGCGGUUCCCAGUCCCUGCCGCGCUCGCCCGGGCCGCCCGGAGCCCAGAUGAGCCCAGAUGGCCGGGGCUCAACCCGGAGUGCACGCCUUGCAACUCAAGCCCGUGUGCGUGUCCGACAGCCUCAAGAAGGGCACCAAAUUCGUCAAGUGGGAUGAUCAUAUUCUAACACGGAAAAAUAAUUGCUAGACUAAGUUGUCUGAGAAGUCUGAUGAAACUCAGAAGUUUGGAUUUGCAUUAAUGCCGUCUGGAUUUGAAUCAAGUAACUCCCUCCUUUACCACACC
rnacentral:lncRNA from 1 species